rnacentral:rRNA from 1 species
UACAGAGGGUGCUAGCGUUGUUCGGAAUCAUUGGGCGUAAAGGGCGUGUAGGCGGUUUGUUAAGUCAUGUGUGAAAUCCCUCGGCUCAACCGGGGAACGACGCAUGAAACUGGCAAGCUAGAGUACCAAAGAGGGGGGUGGAAUUCCCGGUGUAGCGGUGAAAUGCGCAGAUAUCGGGAGGAACACCAGUAGCGAAGGCGGCUCGCUGGGCCAUUCCUGACGCUGAGACGCGAAAGCUAGGGGAGCGAACAGG